rnacentral:lncRNA from 1 species
CCCUGGUGUAUUCAAUCAAACAUAUAUGCCUAUAAGUGAGGUUUAGAUAUGAAAUCUUAGGUCGGUGAAGAAUGGAAGAAGCUAGUAUCCUUUCUUUUCCACGAGACGCCCAAACGUUCGCCCUCCAACAGGUGAUCCACACAAAAUCAGGAUCAAGAAAACGCUCCGGCAGAACCUUGCCUUAUCAAAUUCUCCUCCCGAAAACUAUCUUGCCUUGCUAGGAUCAAUUCCCAGCACUCCUUCACCAAUUCGCUCUUAAAUGGCCUAAACUCCUCUCUUAGCCUUUCAAAAAGAUCUUCCUAAACCCUUAUCCUAAAGGAAGACUCCUUGUCUUGAAGUCUAAGACCUUGUCUUAAAGAAGACCCCUUGUCUUAAAACUACAAGACCUUGUCUUAAAGAAGGGAAGGAAAAAACUUUAUCGAACUUCUGAUUGAUCUUUUUCUGAACCAAAGGGG